ACAUAUUUUAAUAAGCAUUAACACAAAAUUGAUUAAACAAAAGAUAUUUAAGCGGAAUCUUGCCAUAUAAAGUAUGGUUUUCAAAGUUAGUAACUCAUAAGAUCGUGACACAUGUCAAUUUUAUCGAUCAGAUGUUUACAUGUGUUAUUUAAGAUUUAACUUUUUUAUUCUCUUAUAAGAAUAGAAAACCUAAAAAAAGAAACAAAUUUACAUUUACUAAAUUCUAUGUCUAUAAAUUAAUAAAAA
rnacentral:sRNA from 1 species